rnacentral:rRNA from 1 species
AAGGGCACCACAAGAACGCGUGGAGCAUGUGGCUUAAUUUGACUCAACGCGGGAAAUCUUACCGGGUCCGGACAUACUGAGGAUUGACAGGUUGUUGUAGUUCUCCUUUUUAGGAGUUCUACUUAAAAUAUGCUAGUCCUUUCAUGAUUGUGUGAUAGGUGGUGCAUGGCCGUUCUUAGUUCGUGGAGUGAUUUGUCUGCUUAAUUGCGUUUCAUAAAAAGGACUUAAUUUUCAUCGCUUCGUUUACCUUGCGCUUAGCCCUGGUUAUAUGAUCGUCUGCUAUUUUGGGUUAAGAGUGUGUAGCUCUGUACUUUUUUAAAGACUAUAGCAGUCUGACUCAGCAUUUACUUGCUUCGAUGUCGACUGUUUGUUUUUUUCUGUGUGCAUUGCUCCACUCUUUUCCCUUUGUGCGAUUUGUAUCUAUUUCCAUUCAAUGGGUUUUGCGUCUAUGGUCGAGUGAUUGAUUUUAUACAAGUCCUGAAGGCAACGAACGUGACCGCACCCUCUUGUUGCAUCCUUUCACAUUACACGUGUAACCAACUUGUUUGGUUUAUCGGAUGCUAACUAGAGGGACCGCUGACAACUUUUAAAACAGAGGAAGGUUGCGGCAAUAACAGGUCUGUGAUGCCCUCAGAUGUUCCGGGCUGCACACGUGCUACAAUGAUUGUUGCAGUAAGCAUCUUUCAUUUAACACACAUAGGUGUUUGUGCUUUAUCUGAACUAUGGCUUUUUUUAGCUUGUGUUCGAUAACACAUUCCCUAUUGGCAACCUACUUCGAAAGUCCAGUAGGUAACCAAUUCGAAGUAACGAUUUCCCCUUGCACAUAUCUCAUGUUUCCUUGUUUGUAGUCUUGUGCUGCUCUGUUCAGUAUACAUUGUUUCUACCUUGGAACAUGUGCUCCUUUAAUUCGUGGUGGGGACAGACCAUUGUUAAUUGUUGGUCUCGGUCUCAACUAGGAAUGCCUUGUACGGGUUGGUUCAACAAACCACCCGGAAUAUGUCCCUGCCCUUUGUACACACCGCCCGUC